rnacentral:lncRNA from 1 species
UGGAAUCUCUGAAGACCCCCCCAAACAAGAUGCCUCAUUAAUAAUUGAAAUUUUGAAAUAAGAAAAUUAUGCCUGCACUGGGGCCACAACUUCCUCUUUUCUGUUUAUCUUCUCCGCAAAGACAUCAGUCUACUUGUCCCACAAGCAUUUGCAUCAUGAAAGUUGCUCUUUAAACAUAAUUCAAGUCCUGAAGAAUACUGGGAAGAACAGCCUCUGAAAUUCACAUCUGGGACAAGCUGGAGAAAAAAUUCAUAAAGAAGAAAAUCCUGGUAACUUCCCAAUGUUCUACUUUUCCUGUCUCUGGCUUCCUUUUUUCGUUCCACCAAUGUUGUCAGCUUUUAAUUCUUUGGGGAGAAGAAUAAAAGAGAUGGGAAAAGGCCACAGAACGAUACUAAAAGAUGCC